CUGACUCAGAUUAUUAGUUGAUGAUGAUUAUUUAUUGCACUGAAAUGUGCCUGACACUGUGGAAACCUGCAGGUGAGGCAUCAGUGACGUAUGCCGAUAUGCCGCCGGUCUACCAAAAUACUACUAGACCAGCUGCGUUUUGCCUGCGCUGAAAGCUGACCAGGUUUGAAUCGGCAAGCUUUCAGCGCCUCACAGGCGUACACAAAAAUAGAGCCCCAUGUGUUUAUGUAUUUUAGAGAUGUCGUCUGGCACGAGCUACUCGCCCUUUUUUCGCAGUACUUGAACUGUUCUUGAACUGUUAAUUGACUUUAGUACAUGGUGGGUCCAUUAUUUAGUGGCUUUGUGCAUUGGUUUUCAUGCAACAGCUGUUUUUUUGUGUCAUUUCUGUGUGGUUUGUGAUUGGUCAGCUGAAACUUUGUCACUUCUGAUGCCAUGACUCUCUCUCUCACCUGCGUGCGCAGUUUAUUGGUUUUUCAAAAAUAGCUUAAUGUGGUAAAUGGCAUGUUUGGGACAUGGUAUUGUCUUGUGUGAAUAGUUUCAUGCAGAAAUCUCCAAUUUGAGGCCCUCAUCGAGGGUUAGUGUUUACCUACAGAAUGUACCAGCUUUUAAAGGUGGGGUAGGCAGGAUUCUGUUAAAGAAGCAUCUUUUUUUGUGGUGUGUAUACAAAAAAGCUUUUAAUAUCAGUCAAUAGCUAUUAGUUAUUGAUGACAUUUGGGAAUGUAAUGAUAUCGCUGUGUUCUCUUAUGUCUAUGUAAUCAACAAUUUAAAAAUUUUCAUACUCUUUCUGACAGUAAACAAAGCCAUUCUCUACCUCCCUGACCUGAUUGGUUGUGAGGCAGACGCUGCUUCUCAUGUUGUGAGGCACACUCCACAAAUAAUGUUCAUGAGCCAAAACAAAGUUAGUGUGCUACAAUAUUGGACAGUAGAAACCAACCAGAAAGUACAGAAAAUUGUCUGAAUCCUCCUUUGGCCACGACUGCCAACACAUGCAAGUAAACAAAGUGACUACUGGAGACUCUGGCAGAAUAAAAAAAAAAAGGAGGUAGCCCACCCAGACAAUAGCUAAGAAGCCGGGUCAACAUCAGCAUAAACGAUGGGGGAGGCUCAUCGGGAUCUUACGGACCCUGUAACCUUUAUGCUGGACAGGUAAACCGCUUUAACAAAGUAACCCAAGGGUCUGUAACAGAAGUCUUUCUUGUCCAACAGGACCUGCUGCAUAUUGUUCAACUGCUUACCUCGGGUCCUGGAGUAUGUCACUUUAUCCUAGUUGCAGAAGUCCUGCAAACAUUGUGUUUGCUGGUAGUCUGUUGGCAUCUACAAUCACACCAAUGCUUUUUACUUUCACCUAGACUGGGCCCCAUUUGUAAUUAUCUGAAGUAUUUAUCUGCAUUAUAUCUGAAUUUAAUUAGAACGAUAUGAGUGAGCAGGAGUUUCUGUUUGUGGGCGGGGCUUGCUGGAGCAGAGAGGAGGAGCUGAGGGGAAAACUGGUUGGGAGGGGUGGUGUUUACAUUCAAGAUUUCUAACAAAAACUUGCACUUCCUCAGAUCCUGCCUACCCCACCUUUAAGGCUUAAGAAAACUGAAGAUGCAGACGCUGUCAGGCCUACCAAGUAACUUAUUGAUAGGAGUAUAUAGACGCAAAAAAAGUAAAAUCUUAAAUACAAAGAAGUUUGUCAAUUUACUAAGUCAAUUUAAAAUCCCAUUUUGGCAGCCUGUUUGAAUGAUAAAAGCAGUAAAAGUAGAUCUGCUCUGUUUAACCUCUAAAUUAAGUUCCAAUGUUGCAGAAACACAAAAUAACUCGAUGGCACACAGCUAAGAGGAGGAAGUUUGGCUCUCAGCCCAGAUUUGGGGUAUAUCCAAUUUGUUGUUUACCAUCCAGGUCCUCAGGCCUCGCUCAUAUUUCUAAGAAUGUAUACUUAAUGUUUUCUGUGCAGUGAAGAAGUGCAGUUUCAGUAAUCUGAUAAGUGGGAGCCAUCUCGAAGCUGAAGAGACAAUAUGGCUGACUGGGUCACAGUCCUGUCGUCUGUGUGUCGUUCUCAUCACGGCUAGCUGAUAGUAUUGCUAAUUUUUUGAGCCACUGGUGAAGGUGACUCAUCUACCACUUUAAAGUCCAUCAGACUUGAAAAUAGGACUUCAGUUUAUGAUGAGAAAUGUAAAUUCAGCAUGAACAAAGUAGCAUGUGCUACCAUAACUAAUGUAGAUGCUACAGCACCACGAAACCUGGAUUCCCUGGCUUUUUAUGGGCGACUGGAGGACGAGGAGUGUGUGCAUCUUGGCCUGUAAGAGAGUUUAAGUGUGUGCGUGUGUUUGUGUGGGAAAAGUGAGGGAUGGCGAGAGUGAAGGAGAAGGAGGGAGGCUGUGUGGGAGGAGGCAGCUCUGCUAUCUCCUCAGAGAGGUUGGGAGGGCGAAGGGUCAUUAUUGACUGAAUGAAUUUUUAAAGAGGGCCCUCAUUGGAGGUGGGAGGGGCAGUGUGAGCAUCUGUGUGUGUAAAGGUGUGUUUGUAAAGUCACACUGGAUAUUAUCCUACAACACAGCUCCUCUCUCUUCUUCGUCUUCUUGUCCUUUUUAUUUUGUGCUAUUGUACAAAAACACUGUUACACAUCUCCUCAAACCCUGAUGCCUGAUUAGGACUCUCCAGUUUCUCCUUAUAGACUCCAUACUUCCUGAUCAUUUACACUCUUAUGUAAUCUUUCUUAUAUAAUCUUUCAGAGGGUUAUUGCCCAAUCCAUAACACACCAUAGGAGCCAUGUGAGCCAAUCAUUAUCAGAACCUGCUCCGUGUAUCAAAAACCAAAAAAGAGAGCUUUUUGUUUCAUGUAGUUUAGUCCACUUUUGGGUGUUUUAUUUGAAAGCUCUCAACAAAAACCUGGUCUAAACCAAACUCUAUUCUCAAAGACCCAAUGUAAAGAUGGGAUCAGACUGAGCCCAAUCCUGUAAGAUCAGAUCCAUUCCCAUCCCAUCUUUAAUCACAAGAAUGUAACACUUAACAGCAGUUAAAGAGUUACAGUGGAGAGAAAGAACUUUGAACAGGCAGAAACCUCGAGCAGAACCAGACUGAUGUUAGACAGUCAUCUGCUGAGACUGAGCUAGGUUUAGAGAGAGAGAGGAAGAUGGAGAAAUAGAGAGAGAUGGACAGAGGAGACACUGGUGCAUAUAGUUGAAGCAGCUGGUAGGCAGGCAGAUCUAUUCUCUGCAGCAGUGAUUCAGAGAAAUCUAUGCCAUGACGGAGCUCAGGGACUCCCAGAAAGACUGUGUAUUAGUGACUGUAAUGGGACCUGAUGGUUUGGAGUUAAAGGGAUAUUACAGUGUAAAAUUAAGUUAGGGUCAAACACACUGUAACACUGAGUUAGACACCCCAUUGAGAGAUGAAUGUUACUGACUGCUUGCUUCUUUAGUUAUACAAACUUUAGUAACGGCCGGAGGAUAGCAAUAAUACAAUAAUACUACAGACAGAAAGAGGAUAAAGAAGAAGGGGCAGGUGCUUAAUGUGCCAGUACUCCUGACAGUCUUGUGUACAUGCAUCAGUCAAACAUUGAGUCAGAUUCAAUAUAUAAAACCAUAUAUUGUUGUUUAAUCAAGGUGCUGUUCACCUUGUCUGACACCUGUUGUGGCUUUAAGUCACAGUAUAGGGGUUGCAGUUCAAGCUGUGAGUGUUAAGACAUUAAUCACGAUAUAAUUUGGGUCAAAAACUAAUGCAUUGAUUGUUUUCUUUGUUUGUGUGCUGGUUUAUUUCCCUUUCAGCACACCCAGGCUGCAUCACCCUGCUCGUCCUGCGGCUGCCAUGAGGAAAAAAAACACCCCUGCACUUUUUAAUGACACAUUUCACAGUAAAAACUCCCAGACUUUUUAGUUCAUAAGUCAAAAGUAAUGUGGACUUGGUGUGAAGUGGAGCAAAACGAGGGCUGCAGAAUGCUGAAAGUUAAUUCCUCUUUGCAAUAUGAAAAAAAGGCAUGUAAUUAAACAUUUAGAAGUUUCAGUAAUAAAGUGAAAGUAUUCAUAAUUUAUAUUUUUGAGUCUAUUAUCUCCUUUCACAUCAAAUCCACCUCUUACAUGUCUUAAACUGACUGUCAUCAAAUGUCCUUUGAUGUGUCUUUUGUACAUAAGGCAAUGUUAUGUCCAAACAAUAAAUCAUUCAGAGUUUGAAUAUGAGCAGCCUCCUUGAAGCUAACCACACAGGUUAGCUGUCAGCAGGUAAUCAGUCUGAUAUCAGCAGAAAUCCACAUCAUAAAAGCUGCCAGAGCUCUAAUUUGGAGCAUGUGAAUCACCAGACCUGUGGGGUGGACCUGCAUCAAAAAAUUACAACAGUGCUUAAAGGCUUGUCAGAAAUGAGGAAGACUUGGGUGGAAGGGACAUCCUCAGGUUAGCAUGCUGUUAUAUGCCUCAAUGUUCCAAGGAACAAUAGUAUCAUGCAUGCAAGCCCUGAAACAGAGAAAUCAAGCCAACUGGAACUCCUGAAAAGUGCAAAUGCGGUCACAUCGAAGAGGAAUCACUCAGUACGUUUGCACACUGAAGUAUGUAGCGAAUCUCCCUUUCAGCUUGUCUCACGAUUGACAUCAACAGCCAGCAAAACAAGUUAGCAAGAAGCUAACAGGAUGUCACUUUUACAACUCUUUGUCACUUGUUAUACAAAUUGUCUUUUUUAUUUCACUUAUUCGUCUUUUGAGAGUUGUUUUCUAUUUGGUUUCCUAGCAACGCAUCCAUGCUGUCCAUCCACUGAUGCAUGAACACUGGAGCAUGCGCAGAACGCUUUCAGAGCCAGUUUCAGUUUGAUUGACAGAGAAAAUCGAUCCCCAACCACAUUAUCCAGGUUUCCAACUACGAGAAGUUCAACUUAAGUCAGACUAAUGUGUUCACAAGGGAAUAAAACAACAUGCUCAGAAAUGUUAGUCAGAUACGCAAGGCAUCUAUUUUGCCGGACGCUGCAGCACGGCACAUCGAUUCAGUCCAGCGCAGCAUGAGCAGCAGCAGAAGUUGUAUGCGGCUACAGAGCAAAAUAUCCGGUUAAUUUUGAAAAUUAACCGGAUAUAGGGUUGUGGGAUGUGGGUGUUCAUAUACACCACCACUUAUAUACACCAAUUGGUGGAUCUCAUUCAGUGUCUCACGGGGAAACACUCAAGAUCUCGUGAGAUCUCGUCCAGUCUCACGAGAAAUAUCGGUAAUCUUGCAAGUGCUUCUCUUCUGAUGACGGAGGCGGAUUGGACCACUGUAUGCUUGCAUAUUUGAUCUGCCUGCCGGUCCGGAGCAAAGCCAUUCCGAAUCCAGUUGAAUCCCCGGGUAAGAGGUCUAAUUGUCUGGUACCACGACAAAUCCUUGGUGUUUCAUGGGGACAGACUAAAAUGGUGUGAAGGAGACUCUUCUUCUCUUGAGUUGAUUUGUGUCUUUGCACUCUUGUACGGGCACAAUAACAGUAGCAAAUAAAGUGAAUCAUUUGCACAAAUUAAGCAAGUAAAUGCAAAGUAUUCAGACGUUCAAAUGAACCAAAUAAUUUAUUUGCAUCCAACAAAUGCAACAUGCUAGUCAAGACUAUAAAGUAGAUUGUAUGACAAGAUUUUGUUUCUGUUGUUUAGAUGGAUUUAGAAACUGUUCUUAAAAGGGCAAUAUGAUCAGAAAUUAAAAAAAAUUACGAUUAAUGAUUCUGCGGUGGCUAAACUUUAAAAAUGAAGCAUUGGAGAGUCCCAGUUUUAGAGCUAAACAUGUCCUUUUUCAUUGAUUAAGAGGAAAAUGCCAAUCAAAGGUGGAGUUUUCAGUGAGGUGCGCCAAGGCCCCUCCACCUGUGGUCUACAGGGUUAACAAUCAAUGGCUGACCUGGUAUUAGGAGGAAAGCCUCUGGGAAGAAGGAGGGAUAGUUUGAGCAGAGCAACGGAGGAGGAGGAGAAACAACACGAGGAAGUCCAUGAUUUUUUUCCUCAGGAGGUGGAAGGAGGUCUGAGAAGAGCUGGUUUGAAGGGGGGGUUACUUCAGGCCACAACCUCCAGCUUUGCGGAUGCUGGCAGUGAGGCUGGCCUCACUGUGAGGAGUACCCGCAGGCGGUGCAUGUGCUGCGGGAAGAGAGAUAGGCAGGGAAGGGGGUGGGGGUGGGGUUGGAGGAUGCUGUGUUGGUGGUGGGUUUGGAAAUGCUCUGUGUGUUCACUGACCCUGGCAGAUAGCAGAUGAAAGAGGGAGGGGGGUAUUCAAUCAUAGUAAUCCACCCGCAACACACACACACACACACACACACACACACACACACACACACACACACACACACACACACACACACACACACACACACACACACACACACACUCCUGAGAGCAGCCACACUCAUUAGUGCCACUGAGACUGAAACACCAGCACAAAGCAGCCUCUCUCUCUCCCUCUCCCUUGCUUGCCCUCUGCACUCUUUCCUCUCUGUCUUCCCUCCGUUCAUCUCAGCCAAUUUGGCCCUCUGUUGUUUCCUCAGCCCCUCUUUUUUUGUGUGUGUUUGCUCCAUUUAACAUCCACUUCAUCAUCCUACCCCUGGUUCCAUCAGUUCGCUCUUAUCUUUCUUUAAUUUCUUUCUUUCUCUCUUAUCUGUGCAUCCAUCCAUUCGAUUCCACCUUUCCUUGUUCCGUCUCCUCUCUCCUCCCUCAUUUGAUUCCCAGCACUCUCCUCCCCCCCGUCCUUGCUUGUCUCUGCUCCCGUGGCGAGGGGGUGAUUUGGGGGAUUAGGCCGGUGGCAGGGUUGUUGCUGUGUCAGUCUAACAGGCGGGGAUCUGGACCAGAGCUCAGUCCAAAUCCUUUCCUCCACGCCUGCCUGCCUGGCCACCGAAUUAGCAGCUUUCCCUUCCCCUCCAUCUCUCUCUUCUCUUUCGAUGCCUGUCGCUCUCCUCUCCUUCUCUCUAUCACACCUUUAACAUUCCGCUGCUUUUGUGAGUGUUUUCUUGUAUACUUAUUAAAAAGGUCCCAAAGGCUCUCUUAUUGAGUGUAUUACAUCUUGAUAUCUCCACCGAGAAAUAUGAUCACAUCACCCUGCCAUGUUAGGUUCUUUAAACCAGCUGUGUCUGCGAUUUUUAAGAUUUAAAAGCAAAUGCCUCAUGCCUCACUUAACUUUUGGCCUUUUAAACCUCAGACAACCCCAACCUGAAACCCUUUGAAAAGAUAUUGUGAGAGUCGAGCUUUAAAACCAAACAGUCUCAUCGUCUUUGCAGUAAGACAAAAGAAACCUUUGUGAGUUCAGUUGAAGUUCCUCUCCUCAAAAUACCCCUCAGAUAAAGGAAAAUAUCUGGUGAUAGCCCUCUUUGUGCACUGAGAAAAAAACCUACUUUCCAAAAUCCUUAGCUGGCUUAAAAUGUCACUCUUCCUCAUAACCCAAUCCUUCUUAAAAUAUCAGGGGGGCAAAUGCUCUUUUUUAAUUGCAGCCCUCGGCAAGUAUACAGUCAAUCCUUUUGGAUAAGUGAGCUCUUCCUUUAGCGGCCUCAGGGGAGCUAAAGGAAGCAGGUUAGGUCUGCAUUACUGACGAUUUUCAACAAGGGAGAGGUCACAGAAAGAAGGACGAUAUCUGUUGAGCCAUUUCUUUGAUAAAAAGGAGGGAAAGAGUGACUGCUGUUGCUGAGUGGAGGAAAAUAAUGCUGGUUUACAAACACAGUUUGAUACACUUCCAUUCUUAAAGGGAGCCUAUAAUACUAUUAUAUAAACAUAAAGUCACAUUGUUGGAUAUGUGUAGUGAACCAUAGCAUAGCUACACAACAUUAUAGGUACAAGGAUAGAAGCAUAAUUCCUCCAUCUCUGUGACAUCCUUUAAAGACAAUACCAAACAAUGCCAGCUCAAGCUUGAGUUGCACCUCAAUUAUUAUUGAAACCCGCAAAUGUUCCAUCUAUAAAGACCUACCUAAAGGCCCAGAACCACAAGCUCUAAAUAACAAAGAGGGCACUAGUGGCUCACCUCAGACAUUUUCUAUAAAGGCAUAACUUCCAGGCCACUUCGUGACUGCAAAGCUGUGAAAAAAGUAACACCCCAAGCUUUAUCUCACUUCACUGUAAAAACAGCCAAAAUAAAGGGUUUCAGGCUGAGGCUUGAUGGCUUGAGGCUAGUGGAGGUUUAGUGGUUGGUGUGGAUUUUUGAAAGAACGUUUUCUUGGUAUUGCUUUUUUCAGUCUUUUGUUUAUAAAGUUAUAAUAUUAUCUACAAUUUUAGCACUUUCUUUUUUAAUAACCAUGAUAGAUCUCAUAUAACUUUGAUAUCUGUGCUGAAUUGAAAUACAUAAUUUGAAAAUGGUUCUUCUGUAUUCCAGUAUUUACAUUGUCUGUAUUCCAGACAGAAUGUAAUAAUGCUUAGCAUCUGAGGGGUAGGUAACAAAGCUUUUCUGGUUGAACUCCUGACUAUUUCAGAAGUGGGUAAAACAGUGUUUAGAUUCAGCGAGGCAUGAUGCAGACUGCAGCUGUUUGUGAGCCGCUGGUUUCCUCCUUUCAGGUAACCAUCCCUUUAAAAUCUGUGAUGUUUGCUGCUGUAUAAUAAUGGGGGUGUAUUUUACUAGUACAGUCCAGCAGUGGAGAAUGUUUCACACUCAUCUCAUGCUGCUCUGUGUCUGUCUCUAUCCCUCUGUACCUGCCUCACCAGCCGGGCCCAGGGGAGGAGGGCAGGUUACACUCAUGCUGUCUGAAGGACGCUGGGACACUGUGGAGGUGUGUGUGUGUGUGUGUGUGUGUGUGUGUGUGUGUGUGUGUGUGUGUGUGUGAGAGAGAGAGAGAGAGAGAGAGAGGGAAAGAGUGAGACAAACUUUGAGAAAGAAAAGAAAAUAGAAGAAUUAAAUGUAAGAGGCCAAACUAUUCAAACAAAUUCUGCAGUUCAGAAUUACAUUUUUCUUUUUCUCUUUGUGUUGUUUCUAAAUAAAAUUUUCUGUUAACUAUCCCCAGUGUUCCUGCUCUUGCCACUUAUUUGGUUACUUUGGUCAUUUCUGCAAGAUAGAUAGUCUGAUAUUUCUGUUUUAUUUUGUAAUCCUUGAUUGUCCAAAAAGUAAAAAAAAAAAAAAAAAAAAAAAACUAAACCAAAAAAACAAACAAGCAAACAACAAAAAAAAAAACACCCAUAUCUUUUCCUAUCCUCUUUUCUUUUACACUCAGUGUAAAUGUCAUAUGUCUCUGAUCCUUUAUACUGAAUUAUUGAAAAUUGCUGUUAAAUCAGUGAUUUGGCUUCAGAUCAGCUUUUUAUAUGCUGGUCGUUUCUUGACAAGCUUAUGGAAGAGGGCGUAACUUUAAAUACAGUUGGAGCAGAGGGUUAUGGGUCAAUUCCCUCUCUUCCCUAAAGGAUGGUCCAGGAGCAAUGAAGGAAAGCUCUUUUCCUUAUCAUUUAAAGACUUUGCAAACCCACUUUGUGUUUUUUUUUUCUCGUUUUUUUCUUGAUUUAGAUUUUUUUGUUUGACUUUGUCAAGUAAGUUUAUUGUUCACCAUUUUGAACUUUUGUUUCUUAAAAUCUUUCAUUUCUUGAAUCUGCAUUUGGGUCCUUUGCUGUAUGAUUCCAGUACAUGACGCAAUUAUUUUCAGACUAAAGUAUUCUAUUUAGAAACAGUUUGCAGGCACUGCAGGCAGGCAAAUGACUGUGUUUAAAUCCCUCAUUGUGUUAUCUAAGGACUUUGUGAAUGUUACCUUGUUGUCUUUUUGCUGUGCAUAGGUGUGCUUGGGAGAGGAUGGAGAGAAAUUCUAACCUGCAGACAAAUCUACUUCACUCUGAGUCAGCAACACUGAUCUAUACUGGCUUUCUGGAUGCAUCAUGAAUGACUUAACUGACCUCGCUUUAACAAACUGCAACUGUGACAGACGGAUUUACUGCAGACCCAGUGAAGCUUGAGCUAUUCCUUUUUACAAGUUUUCAUGAUGUUGUGUCUGAUUGGCUCAUUUAAAGAAAAUCAUAAGAAUAGGCUCGUACUGCUAAAUAAGCCAAAGUGCAGCUGUUGCGUAAUCUACUCUUUACAGCGAAACUUUGACUCAAAAGAAACAUAAACCGAUCGAUGUCUGGAAAACAUAGAGAUCCAGAAUACAAGAGUGAAAGAGUCCCUCACCUGCAUGCCUCCACACUAGUCCCACCAGGGUUUGAUAAAGGGCAGAGGGAGUGUGAGGCUGGCAUUUACUCACGCCACCACCUCCUGGGGUGGAUAUUCAGGACGAGUCUGAAAUCAGAGUGAGAGAGAAAGUGGAAAAUGAGUCAAACACUCAAAACAUGAUGUUGACUCUUCUUACACUACACAUACUGGUGCAUCAGCACACACACACACCACACACACACAGGGACACACAGGGAUAUAAAUGGUCAAAUCCAUGCAUCUACUGUACUGUAGAUGCAGACAGGGUUUGCAUAAAUUACACACAAAUACAUGCAUGCAGAGAUGCCCGUAGGCGCUGAUUUGCCUCCAUACAAAUCACACAGUUGCAUACAAAUAUGUACAUGAUGGUGGAAAGCUGCUGCAAACACUCUCCUCUCCACAUAGUCUUUUCACCUGCAUGCCAACAGUUGUUUGAUCAGGGCUUGCCAGUGUUAGAAUCUGCUCGCCGUGCAUUUGUGCUGCAGCGGAAAGCCCAAAGAAGAGCAGAGGAGCGUCUGAGAGCCCACAGGCAGGAAGAAAGAGAGUGCUGACAGCGACAGAAAAACACCCAGAUGGUAGCUUCAGUCUACCAAGGGAUCACAUGCACAGAAGUAGAUCUGGAAGUUGCUGGCGGUAACAAGAAAUGAUGUCACCAUCCAUGAUAACAAGACGUGUGUGUUGGUAUGAUUUCUUUUUUAACACAUGGACUGAUCUUGUGUUAAACAGGAUUUAAUCUUUAACUCCAGCUAUCUGGAUCCUAAAGUGAGGCUGAAACUCUUAAAAACAGCCUAAUCCAAACAGCAGCAAAUUUUCUUUGCCAACGUGACAUAUCUGAUGGAAAAUGUUCCAUUUUUCUGAAAUAUUGUACAUAUUUUGGCAUUCAAGCAGCUCCUCCAGUAGCUUCUCUGCCUCCAUGGUAAACCAUAUGGACCAGGGCUGUGUUUGUUGUAUUCCUAUAAGAUAAAGUGACAUUGCCAUUUUGAUCAUUUGCUACUCCCCGGUUUGCAUCUCCUCUUGAUCUGUGAGCUGCUGUCAUCACUUAUCUCCACCCUCAGAUCACAGUAAUCUGUGGUGGUGGGUUCAAACUCUGACAGACAUACAGCUCCUGCAGACGCACACAGCUGCAGACACACACUGCAUGUCUCUUCACACUCACUCACACACACACACGCACACACACACACACACACACACACACACACACACACACACACACACACACACACACACACACACACACACACACACACACACUUAUGGUAUAGAAGCACAUAUCAAAUGUUAGCAGUCAGACAGACACAGAUGUUCACCUGUAUUUUCAGGUACAUCCAGAGCAGAUGUGUGGGCUGAUGAUGUGCUCCUUGAAGGCAAAAACACACCUAUAACGCUCUGCAAAAAAUGUGAUUCACACCAUGCAGGAUACACCCUCUCUGCUCAAACACACACACACACACACACACACACACACACACAGAAAGACAUACAUACCUAAAUGAAAGCAUGCAUAUUUAGAUGCAUGUAUCUGGAUGGGUGAACACCCGCUAACACUCUGAGACAAUACGAGAACGCUGUGUUCGUGUCUGAACAUACUGAUGCACUUACAGUUCAUUAUACAGCAGGUUUUGUAUGAUACCAGAGCUAUCGUUCCUGUCUGUUGAUCUUUAAAGGGCCGUGCAUCCAGCAUACAAAUCCUCCUUAACUGAUGGAAGGAGCUGGAACAGAAAAACAAACAAACAGGCAUGCUUUUAAUUGCACCAGGAAUAAGACUUUGCAGUACGAGAUUAAAUUGUUUUUUGAGCUGUCAGCCGUGUCUCUGAUUCGUCGAUCUUGUAACAUAAUAUAUUUGAAAUGAGCACUAAAAAAAUUCACAGUGGGUGCCAUUGGGGCCCUGAGCUAUUCAGACCAAAACCUUUUUUUACUGGGCUGCAAACAUUUUUAUCUUUACACUAAAAAUGUGCUUUUUUUGGUUUAUUGUGUAAGUGGUUUCUGCUGUCUGUGCAGAGCACCUCAAGUGGACAUUCAAGGAACUACAGUUUUUAAGCACACCCAAUCCCAAAAAUAGAUGAUCAGAGAAAAUAAACAUAUCUACUCAGACCACAUGAAGACAGUUUGACCUUGAGUAAGGAUCAUUUCUCUAUAUUACCUCAGUUGAUCAUCAAGGACAACACAGCAGCAUUGUAUUGUAGGAGAGUCUAAAUAAUCCAAUAUAAACAAAUUGCUGCAUGAACUAACACUGCACUGCAGAACAUCUUUGGAAAAUGAAUCCUUAAAAUUUUCUAAACUUGAUCUUACAUGUUCCUCCCAACUUCAAGUCUUGGGAGGACGAAGAUUCAAUCAAAAGCAGAGGUCAGAGCCUCUUGUUUACAAAAUGAUGGUGACAGUUUUACAUUUAGAUCAAUGUGGCCUGUAAAUGGACAGAUGUGAAGACACCUUUGUAGUUCUUGUCUCUAAAUAAAUCUUCCUCGUCAAACUGAGAUGUUUUCUCUUAUCCUGUUGUGUUCCGCCUCAUCUGGUUUGCCAUCUCCUCCUGCAAACUCAAAAUUCCUGCUUUGCUCUCACAUUAGCCAAACCUAAUCAGACCGAGACGCGAAGGCAGAAGAACUACCAUGUCUGCAGUGCACAUACAAGAUAUACAAGAACUCUGAGUGCAUUUCCAUGCAGUAAUAAUCAUAAAUUUUCUUCCUUGAGCUGCAAAAUUCAGCUGCACUCUGUGAUUGACUUGUCGGAACUCCCCCACAAACAAGAGGCUGCAAGAAGAGAGUAGGUGAGUUGUGUUUAGUCUCUCUGCAAAAUAAAGUAGGCAAAGUUAAAAAGAUGUUUGAUGGCUAGUGCUAUGGCUGGGACCCUAUAUGUACUGUUGAUGAAGUUAGGUGCUGUUCUGAUCAUUAUUUACGGUUAUAGAGUGGCGUUUUGGUUGAGGUGUGUGUGUGGAGAAGUAGACCACUGUGUAUUGCUAUGCUAUGCUGUGCGGUUGUUACUAAAGUUAGGAUAACUAGAGAAUCAAGCAGUCAGCAACAUUCAUCUCUCAAGGGGGUGUCCAACUCAGUGUUACGGUGUGUUUGACCCUAACUUAAUUUAUGCAGGAAUAUCCCUUGAAGUCCUGGAAAUUGACAAAUUUUCAGCUCUUCCUAAAGCUGAUUCAGUUAUCACAGCCCUUUUAGAAGUUUGAAACAUUGAAAAUAGUUUUCCACUGUUGACAUCCUUGUCAAGAUUGGCAGGGAAAUAAAUAACUAAAAACAAGAUGACACGGGGUUGCAUGAUGAUGUGUUUGAGGUUCGGUCAGGAAAAUGAAUGUUUGGCAAAAUAAAUGAAAAUCAUCAUGAGGUGAUCAAAUGUCACGUCAAGAAAAGAACAUUUUCAAUUUUGGUGAGGAAUGACUUAUUCAUUUUUUAGGGGAGAAGUUUGUUUGUUUUACCAGCAGUAUGAGUCGUUUUACACCGAGUUUCACCGAGUUUCUCAUUUACCACAGAGGGAUGGACUCAACCCACUACUCAGUUAGAGACAUGUCUUUUUUUUUCUUAAAUGUGGAUGUACCAGAAUAUACUUGGUAGAAGUGGAGUAUCGUGAUUUGUCGGUCACAAACAAACUGGUUUAAAGAGCUGGCUCUUUAACAGGAAUGAGGGGAGCCAGCUCCUGUCUGUGAGCCAUUGUUUUUUGUAUUUUUUUUCUCUAUUUUUGUAUUUGAUUUACUCUGCUGUUGCGGUUUUUGUUCUUGAUAGCGGUCAGUUCACAUAGACAUCUAAAACUGUUAGAUGCUGCUGUUUUGUUCAUUGCAAUACAGCUAUUUCUUUUUAUUAUGUUAUUUAUUUGAUUAUUUGUGUUUAAAUAAAUGUUGAACUUCUGUCCUUUUUAUUUCUAAGCUUAAGUUUUUAAAGAGGUUUCUAUUUGCUUUGUGUAGCAAAGUGAUUCUACAAGCAAGUCAGCGCAUUCAUAGAGUGUUUUCAGAGAGUUACAAGGGUCUGUAAAUGCAAAGAAAAUAAUUGGCUACAGCAAUUUACUUAUAUUAGAAUAUGUCAUUUUUACUUGUGAAUACUUCAGUACAAAGGAUGAAUUAUUUAAGAAGUAUUGUAUGUGUACACAUACAUACAUAUCAUGAGCCAAACAACGUUAAAUUUGUCUGAAUUAGAAAAUGUUUACGUAGUAAAAUGAAGAGCUGCUUGGGAGCCAAAAGAGCCAGCUCUUCGUAGUGAGCUGAGCCAAAUGAUCUGGCUCACUAAAAAGAGACGUAAUUCCCAUCACUAACAGAGUAUAAUAUUCCUAAGCAUGUUUAAAACUGUUUUUAACCCCCUAAAUAUAGAAAUAAAACUGUUUAAAAAAACUUAAAUGAGUCUUUUUAUUCACAAAGGUGCGGGUCCCUUUCAUGGAGGCUGCCAUCUUGCACCUACUGAUCUAUUGUAGCCUAGAGUGGACAAAUUUGUAACAUACAGUGCAUCCGGAAAGUAUUCAUACCACUUCACUUUUUCUUCAUUUUGUUAUGUUACAGCCUUAUUCCAAAAUGGAUUAAAUUCCAUUUUCCCUCAAAAAUUCUACACAAAAUACCCCAUAAUGACAAAGCGAAAAACUUUUUUUUAGAAAUUUUGGAAAUUUAUUAAAAAUAAGACACUCAAAUGUUGGCCGUGUGAAGAAUUUGUGUAGAAUUUUUGAGGGAAAAAGUGAAUUUAAUCCAUUUUGGAAUAAGGCUGUAACACAACAAAAUGUGGAAAAAGUGAAGUGGUAUGAAUACUUUCCAGAUGCACUGUAUGUGUUUUUUUUAUUGGUUAUGAAGAUUAGCUGUAUGACAUGCAUUAAAAAAAGGGGAUGGCAGUGGGUUAUGUUGAAUGUAAAGUUGCGUAUUGUAUCAAUGAAUGUUUUUAAAUGGUAAAAUCUUUACAAAUCAAUCGUGUGCAUCAUUGCUCACUCUUGUCCCUGGAAGCCACUGUCACUUCUCUUACAGUAUAAGUGAGCAAAGGAGCAUUUAAAGCUAGAAUCUAUUUCCAUUUUGGCACACUGUGCCUUUAUUUAAAUUUGGAAAGAAAACAUGGAGUAAAAGCAUUAAAACCCUGAUUUUGAUAUCGUAUGAAGUUUGUUGGUAAACAUACUCAGUUAUGUUUCUGGAAUUGAAAGGUAAGAACAUUUUACUUGGAAGCAGCAAACUAAAAAAGGUGGACAAAUUGAAAAGAGAGAGAAAAAAAAUGAUAUUUUCAAAGUUUCCUUUCAACAUUGUUUGUUGCAAUUGGUUGCUAAUAACUCCUCAUGUUUCAGACUUCAAAACAAAGAGCUUACUUUAUAAACAAUCUCAGAUUUGCAUCAGGCAGGAAUCAAACAGCAGCAUGUCUGGUCUCAGCUGAAUGUUUGAUUCCAGGAAGAACUUUGACCAUUCUGUUUGAUGCUCUGAGCUUCGAGUCCUGCAGGCUGCAUGAGAGAUCAAAAAGCUGUGGACCUCACAAGACACACAAGUUUGGUUUCUCUCUGUCUGAAAAGCUCUCUCUGUCCUUCCUAACUCUGCAGAAAGCAGGGUCUCUGUGCAGCCUCCACACAUCAAACCAGCAGCUGAAGACAAGAGGACAUGGCUGAUGUUUAAAGUUUGAUUGAACAAUGAAGUAUCCCUCAAAUUUUGUUGUAUUUAUUGUGGUUUUUUUUUACCCCAGCACUAACUUCUUAUGUUUCACUUUGAAAUCCAGUGAAUGGUGUUAACCCCUGAUAUAAUAAUUCAAGAUACAAAGGAAACUGUAAGAACUUUACGGGCAAUAAGCUGAAACCACCAAAUGCUUUUUGACAAGACUUGCAUCUAAAGACCUUUCUUGUAUCUAACCUUUGGUCCUUCUCUUUGAGGACCAAGGUCUAUGAGAUACACUAAAAAAGAUAGACAGUGGCCCUCAUUUAUCAAGCUUGCUUAUGGCAGAAAACUUGCUUACACCUUGCGGACGAAAAUUUUGACGUGAGGAUCAGCAUUUAACAAUCUGCACAUGAGCGUACUCUACGACCAAAUCUCACGACAGGUCUGACAUCGUGUACGCAAGUUUGAGUCAGUGUGGAUCUGCGGUCCGGCAAAUGUCUGUCUCAAAAUAAUUGAUAAACAAACCUCAAACCUGUCAUGAAGCACAAUCAGCCAAAUUUCAUUAAAGAUUAAGACGUAAAUAAAAUAAAUGAAUUGGUUAUGUCCUUAGUGAAUAGGCCUAUUUGAUAACUCUGCCCAGAAACACUGCCACAGAGCAGGAGCGCCAUUUCAACAUUACGCACACGCGCCACUGUGGAGUACUGUGUUUGACUCCUAAAAGGCAGGUGUCCCUGUCUUGGCCCAGCAGCAGGGACAUUGUUGGACACUCCUGGAAGUGUGUGGGAUAUCAUUUUGGUCAGUACAGUUUUACACAAUGUUGCUCUGGUGAAUGGAGUGCUGUUAGCUGUGCCGGUGCAAUGUGAGGACCCGAUGCCCGGAGAACAAUAACGAGGAGAGACUCCACAAAGGUGCUGUAGAGAGGAGACAGGACCUUAUCAAUGGAUUCUGAUAUGUAAAGUAUAAGUUUGGAAAGUGCUCUUGCUAUUUAAUCAGUGAUAAAAAUCCAAUAGAAAUCCAUAAAAAUGUGCCUCAGGGGCAGCAACACACCGUUUGGUGACGUUAAUAACUAUUUUUGUUCAGCCUCUGUCAGACUCUCCAGUCUGCUCUACAUUACAAAGACGCAUCAAAUUAAAACUAAAUACUUUAAACAAUAAGAGCACCGUACCCUAUGUCAUGGCGAUAAAAAAUAUGAGGCAUGUAUGAGAUAUUAAUUUAUCAUCAUGAGCAACAUACUGACUAAUGAUUUAUUCAAACUUCAGCUACUGUCCACUAUUCUGCGGCAGCGCUUUUAGCGCCACCAUAAUCCUGCUCCAGACAGAAGUUUUCUGGACUGCUUUUAUACCAGUUUUGAUGCUUUCAAAGAGCAAAUCCUUGUUAGUUUCCACCACAGACACGAGGAUAUCCACUUUCAGCUCGGAAAUCCUCUUUCAGCUUGGAAAAGUUUCGCAUCUUUCUAAUAUUUCUCCUCUUUCAUGUUUGACCUCAGUGGGUGAGGCUUCCGAACCACAAAUAUUUAAGGGCAUAAACAUGUUAAUGACGAUCGAUUUCAGCCGCCACAUUUAUCAAGACUCGAUCAUACGUAUGCUGGAAUUGGUCAGAUACGAACCCUUUCUAAAUCUCACGUGUGUCCUAUCGUACGAUGAAUCCUGCGCUCAGAUCUGCACAAGCUUGAUAAAUGAGGGCCAGUGUCUUCAUAUUUUUAGUACCUCUUUGUUGUGGGUUCUCCCAGAAAAAAAUCAAUAUGGCGUAGUCAAGAAGGUACGUUUUAGGUUUUUUUUUAUUCCACCAGUCUCCAAACAGUGGAAAAAUUUUUUGUAUAGUGUCCCAAAAACUAUUUACAAAAAUAUACAAUUACCUGAACAAUGGGCUCACACUGACAAAUGGGUUCUUCAAUCACCCGCAAUCACAGCUUGAGCCACCAGCAAACUCAACCCCCCCCCACCCCCCCAAAAAACAGUGCAUUAAUGAGUUAACAAUUUUCCAGCAUCUGCCAUGUACCAAUUCUCCACACUCACAUGGACAAAAUGGCUGUCUUUUAAACAAUAAGCCCCUCCCAGUUGCUGUAUUACAGCAACAUUGCUUUAAAGACCACUUACAGAUAGCAAAAUACCUCUUUUACAUUUCCCCCAAUUUCUACGUGUUAAUUCAGUUCCCCUUUUUCCCACCAAGUGCCUCUUAAAACCGGAAAGUAGAUGUGCCCCUGUUUGGCUUACGCUGUGGCUGACCAAAGGCAGUGGGGAGGAGAGCUCGCGUUUUAUGGUGAGUGUCUCUGUGUUAUGUGUGAACAUGUGUGUAGAACGACGAGUGUGCACCCUCAUUUGAACUACUGGACCUGUGGGGAUGUGAAUAACUUUAACAUAAAUCAUAAUUGAAAGCUCCAGACACACUUCAGGGUUUAUUAGAGACUAGUGUUCAUACAUGAAUUGUAUUUUCCACAUAUGCAGAAGGUUCCUCAUGGUAAGUCAAGACUCAUAAGGAGAAGAGUGUGAAGUGCAGCACCCCUCCUUGUAAUUAGUGAGGACUCAACUCAGACUUGGACUCAGGCAAUAGGAACCUGUUUCUUAGAUUUCAGACCUGAAUCCUUAGAAUCUUUUUUUUUUUUCUUAAAACUUAGCGACCAGCACCCUUUUCACAAAGAUGAAGAUUUUUUCAAGAACUACUUUUUCAGCUUUUUAUGCUUCAAAUGACAGGGAGGACGAAACAUGCACUAAAGGUUUGUGACCAGAAGGCAAAUCUGCAGCCUGUGAUGUGGAGGCUGAUCUACCAAGUGAGCAACAACAGCAUCCCAAACAUGAUGAAAUUUAAUAUAUUUCAGCCAUUUGUGUGCAUGUGUGUGUGUUAGAGAGAAGGAAAGAGAGAGACAGAGAGAGAGACAGAGCGAGAGAGAGAGAGAGAGAGAGAGAAUAUGAGUGUGUGGUACUUGACCUGACAUGCACCCACGUUGUUCCUACUUUUCGAAGCAAAAACUCACCCACACAAAUAAAUACAAUAUUUCACACAAAAAUACACACAUAUUCAUUCAAACACAUAACACUGACAGAGCUUCACACACACACACACACACACACACACACACACACACACACACACACACACACACACACACACACACACACACAUGGACUGCAGGCUGCAGAGCUCUGCCAAAUGAUGGGGUCCUGAGAGGCAGUGGCUCUGACCUUGGCUGCCCGUGUGUAUGUGCCUGACUCCAGCUGGGCGUCCAUUAGAGGGCUCCACAACAGACACUGGCCUCUGCUGAGAGCCAGGGGUCGAAUACUUUACACACACACGCACACAAAUGAAAACACAGAUACACACAGACACACAAGUUACACACACACCCACGCACAGGCAUGUGUGUGUCUAAUCGAGUGUUCGUGAGGGCAUUUCAUAAACAUGCUCAAAUGUAACACUGAUGCAUUAGGUAAACAACACACAAGCUGUGUGUGUGUGUGUGUGUGUGUGUGUGUGUAUGCAUGUAUGGUAGAGUAUGACAGUGAGCAGGGGACAAAAGACGCCACAUGUGGCCAGUGAUUGGAACCUGGGCUUAGUGCUGGUAUAAACAGGUGUUAGUUUAUGAUCUGUGACUGGGUCAGGAAAUUUCACAUACGACAACAACUGUGGAGCUUGAUUUGUCUAACUUAGAUGACAUAGAUUUCAUGCCAAAAUUAUACAUUGUUUCUGGACUGAGGACAGCAAAUUCAGCUUAUUAUUGUUCACAUGGAAAACAUGUGCUUAUGGAAAACAACAGUUAAGGGAUAAAGGAUGGAUGGAUGGAUAAAAUAUCAAUGAUUGAUGGAUGGCAUACAGAUAGAGGGUUGGAUGAACGGAAAGAUGAUGGAUGUAAACUGACAUAUGAACGGAUAUAUGGUUUAAUGGUUAACACAAAGAAUUAAUGGCUGGCUGGCUGGAUGGAUGGAUAAGAAGUUGAUGUACAGACAUGUACAGAUGGAUUGGUUAAAAAUCUAUGGAUUAUUUGAUGUAUGGUGAAAUGGAUAACACAAUAAUAAAUGAAUGAAUGAAUGUUUUAAUGAAUGAUUGUGAACUGAUGGUUGGAUGGAUCACUGGAAUGACAGAUGGAAAUAUGAACUACGGGUGGGUAAUUGGCUGGAUAUUUAUUGACAAAGAUGUAUGAGUCAAAGGAUGGAAACAUGAGUUUCAGAUGUAGGGUUGAAGGUAUGGAUAAAAGACAGUUGAAGGAUUGAUGGAUGGUUAGAUGGAUGGAUGAGAAGUUACCAUGUAAAUGGAUCGAUGGAUAAAAGUUUGAUGGAUCGAUGGAUGGCAUACAGAUAGAUGGUUGGAUGUAUGGUAAUUGAAUGUAAUGGUUAACACAAAGAAUUAAUGGCUGCAAUGAAGGAUGGAUGGUUGGAUGUACACUACAGUCCAAAGGUUUGGAAGCAAGAUCAGAUUUGUACCAAAAAAUCAUAGUUUCAUAUAUAUAAUUUGCAACACAAUAAACAUGACUUUUGUGUAAAGAGUAACUUAUCAGAAGACAUUUUGACUAUAAUUAUUAGGUAUUUGAGUUAUUGUUGCUUAGACUUUGCUUAUACCAGGCAUUCGUUCCACAAGUAUAUUAAGGUAUGUUCCAGGGAUUGCAUUCCAAGCUUUCUUAUGUUCAUUAAAAAGAGACUGCUGAUUCGUGGGACGCGUUUUUCUGACCGAUCGAUCCAAUCCAUCCUGCACAAGCUCAAUUGGAGAAAGGUCUGGAGACUGAGGAGGCCAAACCAUCUUUUGAAGAACACCUUCCUCUUCUUUUUUUGUCUCGGUAACCCUGACAGAGCUUGGCAGAGUGCUUAGGGUCAUUGUCUUGCUGCAAAACAAACUUGUGAGCCACAAGGCUGAGUCCAGAUGGAACAACAUGGUGCUGGAGGAUGGAGUGGUACUGUUCCUUCUUCAUAAUACCCUUUACUUCAAACAAAUCUUUUACUCCAUCAUCUGCAAAAUAUCCCCAUACCAUGGAACUACCACCUCCAUGCUGAAUUGUGGGUGUAACACAUGGUGCUUUCAGACGUUCACCAGUUUGUCUGCGGACAUAGACUUUGCGUUUUGAACCAAACGGUGCAAACUUGUUUCUAUAUAAGUCCAAUUUUUGUGAGCUUUUGCCCACUCAUAUCUCUUGUUCUUGUUCUGUGGACGAAGUAGUGAUUUUGAAGAUACACAACCCUUCAGCCCAGACUUUCUCAAACGUCAUUUCAUGGUUGUCAGAGAUAUGGGUUUCGACCUUGUCAUGUUGAUUUCCUCCCUUAUUUUUGGUGCUGUCUUUUGCCGAUCUCUCUUACUGGUGACAAUGCUAUGUUUAUCCUCUGCUUUUGUAGUAACUCUCUUUUGUCGAGGUCUUUUUCUAUCAUCAUAACUUCCAGGUGCCUCUAGUCUCUUCAGAGUGUAGUGGACUCCUUUGUUAAACACCUUUAGGCGUUUUGCAAUUUCUCUUUCUGUAUCCUUCUUUCCUCAAUGUACAAAUCUGUACUUUUGUUUCUUUACUCAGUUGCCUCUUUCUAGCCAUUUUUGUGUUAGUUUGAACGCAGUUGAGAUUUAUUAGGAUUUUUGUAUGCAGACUCUCAAAAGCCAAAAAGUUGAAGUGAAUAAUACAACUGUGAUUUGUUUUUUUGCUUUUGCACUGAAGUUGUGACUCUUGCAAAUGUUUUCAACCCUAAAACUAAGCCCUUAUUAUCUUUUGCUGACAUAUAUUUAGCAAUGGUCUGUUAACAUCAAUGUAUAUCUAAAGGUAAAGGAGUAAAAUGGUUCAUUUCCAUGAAAGCAACAUCUGACCAUGGAGUACAUACAUCCCAAAAUACAUAUGCUGGAUUUAAAAAAAAGCACUGUGAACAAAAACUUGAAGUUACUCCUAACUGUUUGGCCUGUAAUGGCCUUGCUUCCAAACUUUUGGUCUAUUGUGUCUGUUAAAAUGAGAGGAUAGUUGAAUAGAUGGACAAAUGGAUGUCAGAAGAAUGGUUUGUUAUAUUGAUAGUAGACCGUUAGAUAAUGGAUGGAUGGUAAAAUGACUGGAUGGGUGAUAACAUAUUUGAUAGUCAAAUAACAGUAACAGAUGAAGGACUGAUGGAUGGAUGGACGGUUAAAAGAUUGACUUAAAGGUAAAUGGACAGAUGAAUGGUGGGGGAUCACAGAAAGCAGGAUGGACUUACAGACAAUCAGACUGAUAGAUGAUGGAUGGUUUAAUGUACAGAUGUUUGAAAGGAUGAUGGUUGGAUGCAUAUUAUGGAUGAAAGAUGGUGGUAUGGAUGAUAUUUGGAUGUCUGGAUUAAUGAAAGGUGAUGAUGUUGGAUGUAUGAAGUGAUGGAUGGAUGUAUAAUAGUUGGCUGUGUGGAUGAUGGAUGGAUAGAUAGACAACAAAUGGAUUAUGGUCACAUCUAGGGGUAGAUGGGUGAAUGUAUGAUAUUGAAUGGAUGGAUUAAAAUUGGGUGGAAUAACUGUAGCAUGAUUUACAGAUUGAAGGACUGAUGAAAGGAAGUGGAUGAUUUAAAAAGAAAUAUGUAUAUCACAAGACAGACAAACAGAUGGACAGAUAUAGAGACAGACAGACAUUGAUAGAUAGAUGGAUGAAUGGAUAGAUAGGUAGAUAGAUGGAUAGAUAGAUAGAUAGGUAUAUAGAUAGAUAGAUAGACAGAUGUCCACUGUCGCCCCUCUAAUUAUGGACAUCAUAAACUUUUCCCUCCAACAGUGGCUGGUCUUUUCCUCCUUUCUUUUAAAGGGUCUACAGUCUAAUUGUACCCUGUCUGCUGUCUGCAGUGUAUCCACUGAGCCACAACACUGUCGACUGCAGACACCACCUCCCAGCAUGCCAUCUCUCUCUCUCUCUCUCUCCCUCUUUCCCUCUCUAAGCUGGUCAGCUCCGGCUCCACAGCCAUCAUUAAAGCGUUCUGGCUGAUCACACCCUUUAAUUGGACCAUACCAGCGGCCCGGGCAAAAAUGGCGGCUUGUUAGCUCAGCUGCAGAGUGAAGCAAAGGCACAAACAAACAAGCAAACAAACAAAUGAGGAUAUAAACAAACCACAUGGAAGCUGACUUGGAACAUGAAACACGUGAAGAUGCUUAAACGAGGUCGACCUGCAGACAGAAGAAUCGGUUCAGAGACAUGUUGGAAAUACUUUGUACAGGAAUCAGUUUUUAUCUGCUGUUUUCCCUCUGACGGGGAAACACUGGCGCUUUUUAUUUCACAAGUUAACCAGUAAAAUAAGCCUUAAUUUAUGUGACACAGUAGCUAUUUGGUGGCCAUUUAGAGGCAAAUUAGAGCCAAAUGACUACCAAGCAUUCAUUAGUAGCAUGGGUGGCCCCAGUGGGACUUGUAAUGCAGGCUGUAAUGUUUUGGUCUACCCCCUAAAACAGAAUACUUGAUAUCUGGAGCAUUUGAAGGCAUCUGUAGGUAAUAUUCAAACAACUUUCUGCAUAGAAACAGCUCUGCUCCUGCAUUGCAUCAAAUAACCCUUUGCUUUCCUCCUCCUCCUCUCCUCUGUGCUGUUUAAUUUGGAGGCGGGCGUCUGUGCAUUGUAAUAUUUUCCAUUUAGCGCUGAGGGACUGGGAGAAUUCAGUGGGUCGUUUCACUUUCACGCUUUGCUGAAGAAAAAGCGAGGACCAUCUGACAAUAGUUACUACGAGUCACCUUGGUGCUGCUUUUAUCCUAACAGGGUGUCAGAUAAUUCAAGGUUGUUAAUGCAGCAGCAUCUCCGUUAAAUCAUGAGCUUUAGGUGCAACGCAGCUUCUCUAAUCCACCUACAGCUGUAUGCUGCUGUUGCUCCACUGAUUUAUAGAUAACUGUUAUGAUACUCAGACAUUAACGCCUCCAGCUGGGAAUUCAUCCUCUUCUCUCUUUUAUCCUUCUGAUAGAAAAUCGGCAUAUUGCUCAAGGGCACAUAAGCAGUCAAUAAUUGUCAUCUGCUGUCUACAGCAAAAUGCAUGGCUGAUGUGUAGUCACAUCUGUGUGCAGCUCAUCAGAAAUCCGUGCAAGGCUGUGAUUGGAGCCAAACAACACAACAGAGAUGAUUGUUAAUAACCUUUAAUUUCAGCUUUGGCAGCCACAGGUACAAACAUACAGGUAACAGCUCAGUUCACUUCUAUCUUCAGGUUGUUCAAGGUCAGGUGGUUCAGUAGAUAGGAGCUUGCAGGAUGCAAACAGUGGCAUUAGGAUGGGAGCCUCUGUGGCACUGGUAAGUACAUAGGAAAACUCUUGAUAAAAUGAAGCAUAAAAACAUACACAACAACAAUAUUGGCGAGCGAGAGCAGCACAGCAGUGUCAACCUUGUCCUCAAAUGAGGAUCUAGUGCCAAAAAAGGGAGCUACCUCUGUGGUGUGGAUGUGGUUUGUACAAAAAAAUCAUAGUUUCAACUAAGUUUUACCACCUAAAGCUAAAACACAUGGCCGAAGAUCAGCAGGCUUUGAAGCCAUGUGAUGAGGACGUGCAAGCAGCUACUGGUGUUCAGUGUAAAAGUAAACAAACAGAGCAUUGCAGGAGCACUCACUGCACUCUGUUUGAUAAAAGAAAAAAAAAAACAGACGGUGGCAGGUCAUUACAGAAGUGGUCACGUAUUCUUAGGUUAAAGACAUGGGGCUCUAUUUUCGUGCCUCGCCGGAGACGUGCUGCAGGCGCGGCGUAAGUGAGGUCCGCUGCGCCGACAAGGCGUUCCCAAGCACAAUUUGGUAUUUUGGUUUGAGGCGCAGCCCGGCGUAAGUAUCCCCCCUCCCUAACUCAGCUCCUCCCAGCGGCGUAAGUCGGAGCGGGGGAGAAGCUAGGGCGUGGAAUGGGUUUAACACAGCCAAGACCUGUUUUCACCAAUCACAUAAGCUCCUCUCCUUGCCUUUAAAUCCGCCACCGGCGAGGCGUAUUACUAUUUUCGUGAAGUAGUCAAAGAGAUCAAGAGAUGUCUGAAGACAGUAAUGCCACAAGAUGGCAACAUAAAGCAGCUCCGCAACAAGUGUCACUGUAAGCGCUGCAUUGGGCGUCCUCCACACUCUCUCAUAUGAGCACAGAUGGAUUUGGUGUGUGUAAUGUUGGACCCCCUGGUAAGACAAACACCCUUUUCCACAAAUAAAGACACCCACAUAAAGUUGCAUAUAUUCAAACCUCACGUGACAAAGGUGGGUUGAGCGUACAGAUAACAACAUAAACUCCAAAAAUGGCAUUAAAAUCGGAACCAUCUGUGCGUAAAUGACGCAUCGCGCUCCAUGGCCUGGCUCUUUCUUUCAUAGAUGUUGGCAUAUAAAAUAAAUUUGGCCCACAAAACUGAAUAUUAUAAUAUCCAUAUGUAGGCGUAAAGUAAAUAACUCAUCUGAGCACUGAAACAAAUCAUCUGUUCAGCCGCUGCAGCUGGAGCAGGAUGGAGAGAGGACAUGGAGACAUGUCCAGGUCGAGCUGCGCAAGAAAUAAGAGGAAGCGGAAGAAAGAAAAGGAGGGAGACGAAUCACAUAUCUUGUUAACUUCAUCAUGUGUGUUUAUUUACUAGAUAUUUAAUUUAAUUUAAUGUGGUUUCAGCUGUGUUGAUUCGGUCAGGUUGUGUGUCCAAACGCGUGCCAAACGCGCUCAUCAGAUAAGAUAUAGAUCAGAAUAUAUCUAUAUAGAUCUAAAUGGAUGUGCUGACUCAGAUUAUUAGUUGUUGAUGAUUAUUUAUUGCACUAAAAUGUGCCUGGCACUGUGGAAACCUGCCUGUGAGGCAUCCGUGAUGUAUGCCGAUACGCCGUAGGUCUACCAAAAUACCUCUAGACCAGCUGCGCUCCGCCUGCGCUGAAAGCUGACCAGGUUUGAAUCGGUGAGCUUUCAGCGCACUUUACACGCCGGUGGCGAGCACGAAAAUGUCACUGCGCCCGCUGAUUCUGUCGACACCUCCCCCUGCCUCG